GUGAAACAGGUGAUGAUUGCUACGUAGAAACCUCUGAGAUCGAGGAAGUGUCUGAUGAAGAGUAGUUUUUGUCCAACAGAAUCAUCUACCUUGCUGCAUACUUAGGAGAUACCGAAAUGAUCUCCUGAUGCUCAGGUUCUGCAAAAAGUAAUGAGGUUCAAGCAUCAUAACAAGUCAAUUAAUACAGGGAUUACGUUAAGUCUGCA
rnacentral:misc_RNA from 1 species